rnacentral:rRNA from 1 species
AUGGACCUUAGAGUUAGCAAGUAUGUCCACAAAUUGUUUAGUAUUCAACAAAAUGCUUUCAUUACGGGGAGGCAUAUAGUGGAUGGUAUUUUAUCUUUACAUGAGGUAAUUCACUAUACCCAUAUUAAAAAGCAAGUGAGAGUUGUUCUUAAGCUCGAUUUUGAGAAAACUUAUGACAAAUUUAAUUUGGAAUUCCUGCUUGAUUGUCAUGCGAAACGUGGAUUUAACUCCAAGUGGUGCGGGUGGGUAUAUCAAAUCCUUAAAAAUGGCACGGUUAGUGUGAAGAUCAAUGAUGAGUUAGGACCCUACAUCCAAAGUGCUAAGGGGGUCCGACAAGGUGAUCCAUAUUCCCCUUUUCUAUUUAAUCUUGCG